rnacentral:rRNA from 1 species
CCUACGGGUGGCAGCAGUCGAGAAUCAUUCACAAUGGGGGAAACCCUGAUGGUGCGACGCCGCGUGGGGGAAUGAAGGUCUUCGGAUUGUAAACCCCUGUCAUGUGGGAGCAAAUUAAAAAGAUAGUACCACAAGAGGAAGAGACGGCUAACUCUGUGCCAGAAGCCGCGGUAAUACAGAGGUCUCAAGCGUUGUUCGGAAUCACUGGGCGUAAAGCGUGCGUAGGCUGUUUCGUAAGUCGUGUGUGAAAGGCGGGGGCUCAACCCUCGGACGGCACAUGAUACUGGGAGACUAGAGUAAUGGAGGGGGAAGCGGAAUUCUCGGUGUAGCAGUGAAAUGCGUAGAUAUCGAGAGGAACACUCGUGGCGAAGGCGGGUUCCUGGACAUUCACUGACGCUGAGGCACGAAGGCCAGGGGAGCGAAAGGGAUUAGAUACCCGUGUAGUC